rnacentral:piRNA from 1 species
UCCCUCUCUACAGGACUGUUGUUCAUAUA